rnacentral:lncRNA from 1 species
GGGGGGGGGGGGGUAAUAUCAUUGUUGUUGUGGUUGUUGAGGCGAACAUGGUGGCUAACAAAACUGACUGGAUAUUGGUGAUAACUAGGGAAUAUGAUGCAUUUUACACUCCUUCAUGAUCAAGUUUUUAUUAGAAAUGUGUAUAAAAUAGUCCCAAAUGCUCACUAGUUGUUCUUGAUGGGAGGUUUAAUCAACAAGGUGACAAAGUGUCAAAAACCAGCUCAAAAGGAGUGAAACUUGCACAAUUACCAAGACAAGACAAAUCUUAGUCAAUCAGGGCCAGUGCGCAUCACACCAUUCUGUCGGUCCGCACAAGUGAUGUUCAAAGAGGUUUUUAUUCAGACCAAAAGGCAAUGUGGCCACAAGGGGUUUUGUGCGUCCGCAUUGGGAUCAUUGCUGUCGCACUUGAUUUAGUACAGUCCACAGAGCCAAGGUUCAGAGAGUGGUGUUUUUUAGGUUGAAGCUCAAUACGAUCCGCGGUCCUUUUUUGUGUGGAUCGCAAUGGAAGCCACCACGGCCGCACUUGAUUUCGUAUGGUAUGCAUUGCCCACGUUCAGAGAGCUUAUUAUUCAAGUUCAGAGCCUUAGUGCCGCCACACUUGUUUUUGUGCGGUCUGCACUAGCCCCCCAGGGAUAUUUUUUUCUAGAAUUUUCAGCCUAGUAUAAAUAGUUUCUUUUCCCAUUUUUAGGGAAUCAGAUAGUUUUGUACUGGGAGCUGCGCUCCUGACUUUGUUUCUUUUACCUAUUUUCAGUAAUUUUGGUGUGAUUUCAACAUUGAAUCUUCAAGUUUAAUUUAGUUAU